AAAGUCACAGAUCUGGUUGAGAGCUUCUGGAUUAGUAGGAGGAGUCCACAAGUCUAUUAUUUACUAUGCACACAAACAUUUACCUAAUUUUUCUUUCAAUAAGAAACCUUAUCCGUUGCGCUGGUGCCUGAUUUUCUGACUGCAAAGUCUCUUCAAAGUCUCCUUUGCAAUUUCUCUGAAGUCUAAACCUCCCUUUGUCUUUUCAUGGAUGAGAGAAUAACAGUGGCUAUAUGAAACGGAGCGGCGAUCUCAAAUACUCGCCAUACUCUGUUUUUCAGCUCCACUUGUUCCAGCAAGCACUUCUGAGGAGUUCAAUCUGGUGUGUCAUGACUAGAACUGGACCAGCAGUUAGACAGACAUCAAAGCGAGUUGGCCAAGACUGAGAAGCAAGUCGUACUCAGGAAGCUGCCCCCCAGGGUGACUUUGCAGGCUUUGCCUUUCCGACCUCUACAGCAGGUGGCUCGGUUCUGUGCAGCACCAGCUCCUCUCACCCUCCUGAAAAAAGAAGAGAGAAGUAGCUUUUGCACUAUUGUCUGGCAUCAUCUACCUGGAACCAACAGGGUCCACAUUCAGACCACGAAGAAGAGAGACCUCCAGGGGAAAACAAUGAAACACAAUUUUUUAAUGAAAAUAAACAUUAAAUGACAAGGUGAAUAUUACCAUUCCAGCUAGUGGCUCUUCAUCUACUUUUCCUGAGAGACGACUAUGAGGACUAUACCCCAAAUAACACUCAAGUGAUACAUAGUAAGAGAGAAAUACACUUGUUUCUUUAAUCAUUAAUAUUUUAAUUUUAUACACCAUACUCUAACAUUUCCAGAUAAAGGAGGGGUGGUCUAAGAAUACAGUGAAUAAUUAAAUUUUUA
rnacentral:lncRNA from 1 species